rnacentral:snRNA from 1 species
GUGCUUACUUCAGCAGUACAUAUACUAAAAUUAAAACAAUACAGAGAUUAGCAUGGCCCAUGUGCAAGGAUGACAUGCAAAUUCGUGAAGUGUUCCAUAUUUUU